rnacentral:rRNA from 1 species
GUAGGGUGCGAGCGUUGUCCGGAAUUAUUGGGCGUAAAGAGCUCGUAGGCGGUUUGUUGCGUCGGCCGUGAAAACUUCACGCUUAACGUGGAGCCUGCGGUCGAUACGGGCAGACUUGAGUUCGGCAGGGGAGACUGGAAUUCCUGGUGUAGCGGUGAAAUGCGCAGAUAUCAGGAGGAACACCGGUGGCGAAGGCGGGUCUCUGGGCCGAUACUGACGCUGAGGAGCGAAAGCGUGGGGAGCGAACAGGAUUAGAUACCCUGGUAGUCCACGCCGUAAACGGUGGGUGCUAGGUGUGGGGGGCUUCCACGUCCUCCGUGCCGCAGCUAACGCAUUAAGCACCCCGCCUGGGGAGUACGGCCGCAAGGCUAAA